CCGGAACUCCAUCAUUUUAAAUGUAUCCGGGCACAGCAGAAAAAAGGAGGAAAAUCGUCCCCGUGGCUCGGGGUGCGGCAUUGUGGAGACAUGCCGUAAAAGCGCGGCGCGAAUCGCGCGCGUGAGACCUGCCCUUGCGGAUGCAGACAGGCCGGAGCCGGAAUCUAUGGCA
rnacentral:ncRNA from 1 species